CAACUCCUGGAGAUGUUUGGACAAAUACAACUGAGUCUCCGAUUUCAGUUUAUAUGCGUUAUCUUCAAAAUUCAAUAAUAGAUUCAGGGCCUAAACAAACACAAUUUCAAGGACCUGGUCAUUUUCAAGCACAUCCAGCGUCAUCUGGUUUACUUCCUAAUCCUUCAAUGCCACCUUUUCCAUCUCCUAGAAUGAAUGGCCCGCCUCCUUUCCCAUUGUCGCGGAUGAAUGGUCCUCCUCCACCUCUU
rnacentral:misc_RNA from 1 species